UUGGGUUUCCCUUCUACAAAAACUUUGGGCCUGUGCUUUCUUCUUUUGGGUGGUUUCUGUGGGGGCGUCUCGUUAAGAUCAAAGCCUUGGUUGUCCUCCAAUGGUAUAGAAGCAAUGGCAGAUGAUGAAUCCACGAUGUUAUAAGCCUGUUAUUCUCUACCUUGGCCCCAUCUGGUGUUUGUGGCGUGAAUUGGACUGAGGUGGUGCUGCAUGAAGCUUGAUCGGCUUCUGCUCUAGGUAGUAAGUUUAGAUUGUGGUCAGGUUGGUAUUGUAAUGGGAAUCUACCUGCUGAAAAAGCUAGUUUACCUCAGAAUUUGUAUAUAUACAAUAAGAAUAAGGACAACUGUUAAGAAUGUUAACAGAACGAAAAAUUCUAUGUUGCUUUUUCAUGCAAUGCAUUGAAACUUUUUUUU